rnacentral:lncRNA from 1 species
UGAGUGCCAUGGCUGACUAGUGGAGCUCGACGACAAGCUGCGGAUUUGUAGAACAGAGGACCCGGUUGGGCUGUUGACGGCAACCGAAGUAUGCUCUCCUCCUCUCCUUGCGUCUGGGUAGUUGCUAAUUAAUCUCAAGGCAUUCAAAGUUAAAAUAUGUACACUUGUUACCACCAAGUUAGAAGAUUUUGCUUGGCUUGUCUAUUAUGUUGUACAGAGUAUAUGUGAAGAAGAGAAAGAUUGGAAUUUGAAGAGGAUGCUCUAUGUAAUAAUGUCCAGAGUCUAGACAGGUUGCUAGAUGUGACUUACGUAUUAUAUAUCUCAUGUUAAAUUGAAGAGGAUUUUGUUGUCAUGUGUUUGCGUUGGAAUAUACUGUUCGGUCAAUCUGUAUAGGUCCUAGCGGCAUCUUUUGCUAAGGAAUAUAUUGUUCUUAUAUAGUCAAUCUAUGUUUUCUCUCCUAUGAUGUUAAUUAUUAGUUUCACUUGCCCUUAUGUUUACCACCUUCCUGUUUCCCCGUGGUUUUCGGGCAGCCGUUGUUCUGAACUUGCUGUUUGUUGGUUGGUUAUUGUCAGGGGCGAGUUCCGUGUGGAGUUCAAGCAGAAGAACCCCAAGAACAAGUCGGUGGCCACCGUAAGUCCCUUCCAACAAAAAUCCCACUCCUGAGCAUUUUUCCAUAUGGUUUAAUAUGCAGACAACAAGAGAGCUAGUGAUGCUAUGUUAAAAUUAAUGUGUACUUGUCAAUUCUAGCUUAUAUUUGUGUCUUGCGAUCCUGUUCUAAUUAAUGUGUAUACUACAAGCCCUUGUUUUCCUAUCUAAAUGCAUGCACAAAAGUUCAGUUAUCUUCUGAAAAAUUGCUCGUGCAUUUUUCGGUUUCUCAAAUACAAAAUAGCUUGCUCCUUUCAGUUCAUACAUUUUUU